CUAGAGAAUAAUCUUAUCCUUGCUGAAUCAAGAAUAAAGGAUUUAGAAUCUCAGGUGGAUGGUUCUUUGGAACCAGACAAAAUACUG